CCUGUCUUUCAGAAAAUGAAACACAGAAGACUCUUGCAUACAAACUACUUAGCACAUUAAUAUGCAUAAUUUGUAAUGGCUGUAAAUCAAUUAGGACAUUGACAAAAAUACAAAGAUGCCAUUGAUUAAAAAUAAGAUUUUGUUGAAGACAUGCCUCUCCAUUUGUUGUAAGCAAGACUUUUGACCAGUCUCUAGGGAUCUUGAAUGAUUAUCGUUACUGGCUUUGACUCAUUAAGUAGAUAACUUCUGGGGGAAAAGAUUCUCCACAUUCCUCACGCUGCCAUUCUACAAGCCCUGCUUCAUCAGGAGCAGCACCUGGCAGAAAGGAGCAAGUCCAUAAACAAAAUGGGCCGUGACAAUAAAGAUGACAGAACCCCAUCUAAAGUCUUAGUACAGAAUUUCAGUUCAAGAGGAGUGGAGCCAGCCCUUGUAGAAGCCCAUGCAAAUGCUUGGGGGUAUCAUUGUUCUGAUGAAAUACGGGUGGACUAUUCUAUUGGGCAGAACACUAACCUCUUCUUGGAGUGUUUUCUCAGAAUUCCCUUGUGACAGUGGUUCACCCAUGAUUUGUAAAUAUAUAAAACAUUUUCAAUAUCUAUGUAUUGUUUGAAGAUGGAAUUAAAAGUAGCCU